CUAAUUUUGAAAAGUUUUCACAUUUUUCAAAGGUUUAAAAAGUUUUGAUAUUUUUCAAAAGUUUUUUAGUUUGUUGAGAAAAAAUCAUCCAAAUGAUACUGCUCCAAAAACUAAAUACAUUUUUAACUUUAAACAUGACAUUUUUAAUAAGGAUGGGAGGGGCUUGUUGUUUUUUCUCCCCAACAGAACUAAAUGCUGCUAAACGUUAAUUGAUUAAUUGAUUCCUUCAUCCUUACAGGAAGUGGGAGUUGGUCACGUGGACGGUGGCGUUCUCCAUCAGGGUCAGGUUGGACCGGAUGCAUUUCCCCGGAGCGGAGAACGCCGGCAGCUUCUGCACCAGGGACCCCAGCCGAAGGUCUGAGCCGAGGCCAGGGGGAGCAGCAGCAGGAGGACGAGGGAGGCCCGCAUGGUCGGAGGAGGUCUCAGCUGAUCCAGAAGAGAGUUCAGAUCGUCUUCAGUCGCAUGUCACCCGAAUCCAGCAGGAUUAAUCAUCAACCUGAGGCUUCAUCUGUGACCCUCAGGAGGUCAACGGCUCCAAUCCGACCAUUUCAAACUUGAUUUUGAGGAAUAUCCUGAAGUUUUAACACUUUUUUGACUGACCUGAAUAUUUGUCACCGAUUUAAAAGUUUUGUUUUUGCAGAA